GACGAACCGUGCGAACGUUGUUCGGAAUCACUGGGCUUAAAGGGCGCGUAGGCGGCUUGUCAAGUCAGGGGUGAAAUCUUUCGGCUCAACCGGAAAAGUGCCUUUGAUACUGACAGGCUCGAGGGAAGUAGGGGCAUGUGGAACUUCUGGUGGAGCGGUGAAAUGCGUUGAUAUCUGGAGGAACACCGGUGGCGAAGGCGGCAUCCUGGACCGACACUGACGCUGAGGAGCGAAAGCCAGGGGAGCAAACGGG
rnacentral:rRNA from 1 species